CGUCCAGUCCGAUCCAGAUGGAAUACCAAACGUGGCUCUGAAAGCUAUGAUUUUAUCAUAUGCAAACAUGUUCAGAAUGGUACUCCAGAGCCUAGAUGAGGGUAAUUUUCGAGAAAUGUGGAAGACCUAAAAGCUGAUACUGCGGUCAAAACCAGGGCCAAUACCAGCCACCGAAGAAUUUGGCCUAAUAUAGGACUAUAUAGCUGAUAGACACAGUUGAAAAACUCCUGGAGAGGAUCAACAGGCUGACGAAGUGUAUGGAGGGUGAGCGUUGAGUGUCAAAGAUUCAUUUUGGAUUCCACAAAGGAGUAUCGACAGUGGAUGCAAUCUGGACAGUCCUCGAGAGUGUUGAGAAAGCAUCAAAGCAGAAGCGAAGAAGAGAUCGAUACUACGCAGUGGUUACGAUAGAUGUGAAGAACGCCUUCAACAGCGCCAGAUGGUGAAAAUUCAUGGUGGUGAAAAUUAAUUCGAUGGUGAUAUGGCAGCAGGAGUGGAACAGUACGCAAAAAGGAGGGUUAACCUACCGGCUCAUUCCAAAAUCCAAACCUGUCGACGUGGAUGAACAGAAAGUAUGGCGAGCACAAUCAUGUUAGCAAAAAUUGUCCGAAAAUGGCUGCGACAAUUGCCGUCCUAAUCCUCGCUACAUGGAAACCAUUAUUUUAUGCAUGCCGCAUUGCUUUCAAUAUGACAAAAAUUGACACAAAGAAAAUCUUUAUUUUAAAUUCUCAGCGUAAUAAUCAAGUACCAGCGUAGUCGAUGAUAAUGAUGGUCCGGGCACAUAUCCCUACAAAGGUUUGAACUGGACGAGCUAAAGAUAAUUAAGCUGAAUAAAUAAGCUAAGUUGAAUAAAUAAAAAUUACAAAAGAAAAAGAAAAUUCUAAAAGCUGGUCAUAUUAGUGAGGGAUAAAAUCAUAUGUAGCACUUUGCACAGCAGUAAAAAAAAUUACAAGCAUAAGUUACUUAGUCUGGAUUAAUAUUAUUCAACAAAAUGUUUGAUUUCAAUAAAGAAGAAAAAGACGA